rnacentral:misc_RNA from 1 species
UUUCACAGAAAUCGGUGGGUUUUUCUUUUAACAUCUACGGAAAGUGGUUAUUGAAGAAAUUAAAGCAAUCUAAUUGAAUCAAAAUUAGUGAAAAUAAGGUGAAAUUAUAAUAAAUCGCGCACAAAGUUGAAAUAAAGCGAGCUUUUGAUGUUAAACGAUUAAUUUCGCCACAAAAAGUGAAGUGAGUGCUUUUUCAUCAAAAACACGAAAGGCAAAAAAGAAGAAAAAAAACGUCAUCUCUUGCCAAUAGAAUUGCUGAUGAAUACGAUUUCAGCUGGAGGAGAAACAAAAUACACAUAGCACUGAUUUGGAAAAUAAGGAAAGCCAAUUGGCUUAACUUCGUUAAUCGUACGCAAUUAGGAUAUAAAAUUUAAAUUCAAUUGGUAUCACCAGAAAGCAAUAAAGCAGCAUAUAGACACGACGCAGACGAACAAGUAUGAGCAGCGUUGUGAGUAGCACAGCGCCCAGUCCAGCCAGCUUCAUUGACCCGAAUGGCACAGCAGCAGCCGCAGCUGCAGCCGUCGCAUCGAUGAUGACCGAAUCGACAACUUUAAAACCGAAUUUUAUUGUACAAGCCAAACCAAUGUCGUCGCCCAUUGAUCCGCUCAGUCACGUCGGUGAUGGUAUCUUCCUGCAAACAAAGACCGCUCAAGGACUUGCGACUGUAUUCGUGUGGGCGGCACUCUUUAUCACAUGCCAACAGAUUUAUCAACACCUGCGUUGGUAUACAAAUCCACAGGAGCAACGUUGGAUAGUACGUAUCCUAUUUAUUGUGCCCAUGUAUGCGACAUACUCGUGGAUCAGUUUAUUUUUCUUCAAUUCAGAUAAUGUGUACGUGUAUUUCUUUACCGUACGUGAUUGCUAUGAAGCUUUUGUCAUCUACAGUUUCCUGUCGCUAUGCUACGAGUACCUCGGUGGCGAGGGCAACAUUAUGUCCGAGAUACGUGGCAAACCCAUUAAAAGCUCGUGUCUUUAUGGCACUUGCUGCCUAAGAGGUAAAACAUAUACCAUCGGCUUCCUACGCUUCUGCAAGCAGGCUACAUUGCAAUUCUGCUUGGUGAAGCCGCUUGUGGCGUUUAUUAUUAUAUUCCUGCAAGCUUUUGGCCACUAUCAUGAUGGUGAUUGGAGCGCCAAUGGUGGUUAUAUUUACAUUACUGUCAUCUACAAUAUAUCCGUUACUCUUGCCCUCUACGGCUUGUACUUAUUCUAUUUUGCUACGCGUGAUUUGUUAACACCCUUUGAGCCUGUGCUGAAGUUUUGUACAAUCAAAUCGAUUAUCUUCUUAUCAUUUUGGCAAGGUGUGAUGUUGGCCAUUUUGGAGAAGGCCAAAGUCAUCUCGCCGAUCGUCGACAGUGCUGGCACUCACACCUCAGCUGGUACUGUCUCGGCGGGCUAUCAGAACUUUUUCAUUUGCAUUGAAAUGCUAUUUGCUGCGAUUGCGUUACGCUAUGCCUUCCCCUAUCAGGUAUAUGCGCGCAGCUGUAUUGCCGAUGGUCAAGGUCGCUCUGUAACAAUGCAAUCGAUUUCAAGCAGUCUUAAAGAAACAAUGAAUCCCAAGGAUAUUAUGACAGAUGCUAUACACAAUUUUCAUCCACAAUACCAACAAUAUACGCAAUACAGUUCCGGCAACCAAAGCUGGCACCAACACAGCGGGCACGCGCACCUAUCACACCAUAACGACUUCUAAAGUCAACAUUUUGUGCCUCUGAAGGGCAUUAAAGAGUCGACAUCAAACCACAUCCUCCGCUUCCUUACAUAAAAAUCUACACCACUCAAGGACAAAGCAGCUGGCACGUACUAAUUAACUUAAUUGCUUUAAAGCUAAAACAUCAGCAGUGGCUAAUGUAAAAGUAUACAAUUCACAUUCAUAGCGCGAUUUCCAAUGCCAUAUGCCGUGCAAGAGGGUGUUUAUUUACUACAUACGAGAGUCGUCUCAGAAUUUAUUUGAGAUGUCUACACAUGAAUUUAACUAACCAUACCACGUAAAUAAGAAAUUUCGUGCGCUCAUUCGUACAUCCACUUGUCCAGCUAAGCAACCAGCAAAACGGCCAGAAUAGCACA